UACGAAGGGUGCAAACGUUAUUCGGAAUCACUGGGCGUAAAGGGUGCGUAGACGGCAUGUUAAGUUCGUUGUUAAAGGCUCCGGCCUAACCGGAGUACCGCGAUGAAAACUGGCGUACUAGAGGGUGAGAGAGAGAAGUGGAAUUCCUGGAGUAGCGGUAAAAUGCGUGGAUCUCAGGAGGAACACCAAUGGCGAAGGCAGCUUCUUGGCUCAUUCCUGACGCUGGAGGUGCGAAAGCGUGGGGAGCAAACAGG
rnacentral:rRNA from 1 species